rnacentral:rRNA from 1 species
UAGGGAAUCUUCCACAAUGGACGAAAGUCUGAUGGAGCAACGCCGCGUGAGUGAAGAAGGGUUUCGGCUCGUAAAACUCUGCUGUUAAAGAAGAACAUAUCUGAGAGUAACUGUUCAGGUAUUGACGGUAUUUAACCAGAAAGCCACGGCUAACUACGUGCCAGCAGCCGCGGUAAUACGUAGGUGGCAAGCGUUGUCCGGAUUUAUUGGGCGUAAAGCGAGCGCAGGCGGUUUUUUAAGUCUGAUGUGAAAGCCUUCGGCUCAACCGAAGAAGUGCAUCGGAAACUGGGAAACUUGAGUGCAGAAGAGGACAGUGGAACUCCAUGUGUAGCGGUGAAAUGCGUAGAUAUAUGGAAGAACACCAGUGGCGAAGGCGGCUGUCUGGUCUGUAACUGACGCUGAGGCUCGAAAGUAUGGGUAGCAAACAGG